UAGAGAAUGACAGAGGCAACUGGAAUUCCACAUGUAGGGGUAAAAUCCGUUGAUAUGUGGAGGAACACCAAAAGCGAAGGCAGGUUGCUGGGUUAUUUCUGACGCUGAGGAACGAAAGCGUGGGGAGCAAACAGGAUUAGAUACCCUGGUAGUCCACGCCGUAAACGAUGGAUACUCGAUGUAGGGAGGAAUUGACCCCUCUCUGUGUCUAAGCUAACGCGUUAAGUAUCCCGCCUGGGGAGUACGGUCGCAAGAUUAAAACUCAAAGGAAUAGACGGGGACCCACACAAGCGGUGGAGCAUGUGGUUUAAUUCGACGAUAAACGGGGAACCUUACCAGGGCUUGACAUCUCCGGAAUCCCGAGGAAACUUGGGAGUGCCGUAAGGAACUGGAUGACAGGUGCUGCAUGGUCGUCGUCAGCUCGUGCCUUGAGGUGUUCGGUUAAGUCCGUAAACGAGCGCAACCCAUGUCCUAUGUUGCAUUUUUCAUAGGAGACUGCCGGCUCCAAGUCGGAGGAAGGUAUGGAUGACGUCAGAUCAGCAUGGCCCUUAUGGCCUGGGCUACACACGUGCUACAAUGGCCGGUACAAUGGGUAGCGAACCCGCAAGGGGGAGCCAAUCUCAUCAAAGCCGGUCUCAGUUCGGAUUGGGGGCUGAAAUUCGACCCCAUGGAGUUGGAAUCGCUAGUAACCGCGAAUCAGCUAUGU
rnacentral:rRNA from 1 species